rnacentral:tRNA from 1 species
GCCUGGCUGGCCUAGUUGGUAGAGUGUGUGACUCUGGAUCUCAGGAUCGUGAGUUCAAGCCCCAUGGUAGGUG